UCUCCUGCCUCUGCCCUGCACUCAGCAGUCAUCCUUGCCCAUGGUGCUGUACAGCAGCUGUUGCUGUGGCUCAUGGAACACUGAGAGGUCCUGCCCACUCACUCGUGUCAGAUGGGAUGGCUGCAGAAGCCCAUGUCCUUCCUGCAUCCUCUGAGACCAGAGUCUCGUUGUGUUUCUCCCUUCCCGAAAGCGAGAGCCUGCGGGCGUUCGCAGCGCCGCGGUCUGACACGGAGAGCUGGAAGCGGAGCCGUGCAGUGAUUAAGUCACUCUCACAAGGUCACGCGGUGAAUCGCUGCUGCUGCCAAGAAUAGCACCCCGAGUCUCUUGGCUCUCUCAAGCCCACCCUCCACACUCCAGCCUCCUUUCCUCGGAUGGAGUGUGGCGAGAGCGUGGUGGGAGCAGACAAUGCUUGUGCUGACAGCAGAGAUUGAAGUGUUUCCUGUCAUGGAAAAGAUGAACAAGCCAGUUCCACAUCAGCUUUCUUUUCUGAGACUUGGGAUCAGCAAACGUUUAUAAGACAGGUACACUCCCUUUGGACUGACAACACCUCCCAAAGAUUCACUCUCCAGCCCUUGGAGCUUCACCAGCCCUGGGAGCAUGGCCAUGGUGAGGGGUGAGUGCUGCAGUCACUGGUGCUGGCUGUUGCUGGUAUCACGUGAACUCUGCAGUGGGGGAGGAAGGACCUGAGCUUUUGAUUUCUGAAGGAUAUUGCUCUGAUAAAUAAAGAAAGGAUUUAACUAC